rnacentral:rRNA from 1 species
GAUGAACGCUGGCGGCGUGCUUAACACAUGCAAGUCGAACGAUUUAAGCCCCUCCGGGGGUGUAUUGAGUGGCGAACGGGUGAGUAACACGUGGGCACUCUGCCCCGCACUCCGGGAUAACUCAGAGAAAUUUGAGCUAAUACCGCAUACCCCGGUCGGACCGCAUGGUCUUCUCGGGAAAGCUCCGACGGUGAGGGAUGAGCUCGCGGCCCAUUAGCUUGUUGGCAUGGUAAUGGCCUACCAAGGCGACGAUGGGUAGCCGCGCGGAGAGGCGGAUUGGCCACACUGGGACUGAGACACGGCCCAGACUCCUACGGGAGGCAGCAGUGGGAAAUUUUGCGCAAUGGGCGAAAGCCUGACGCAGCAACGCCGCGUGCGGGAUGAAGGUUCUCGGGUCGUAAACAGCUUUCAGCAGGGAUGAAAUUGACAGUACCUGCAGAAGAAGCCCCGGCUAAAUACGUGCCAGCAGCCGCCGUAACAC